rnacentral:rRNA from 1 species
UACGUAGGGUGCAAGCGUUAAUCGGAAUUACUGGGCGUAAAGCGUGCGCAGGCGGUGAUGUAAGACAGGUGUGAAAUCCCCGGGCUUAACCUGGGAACUGCAUUUGUGACUGCAUCGCUGGAGUGCGGCAGAGGGGGAUGGAAUUCCGCGUGUAGCAGUGAAAUGCGUAGAUAUGCGGAGGAACACCGAUGGCGAAGGCAAUCCCCUGGGCCUGCACUGACGCUCAUGCACGAAAGCGUGGGGAGC